rnacentral:rRNA from 1 species
ACAGCAGUCGCCGCGGUAAUGCGUAGGUGGCAAGCGUUGUCCGGAAUUACAGGGCGUAAAGCGUGCGUAGGCGGUGAGUUAAGUCUGCUGUGAAAUCCCCGGGCUCAACCUGGGAAUGGCAGUGGAUACUGGCUCGCUAGAGUGUGUCAGAGGAUGGUGGAAUUCCCGGUGUAGCGGUGAAAUGCGUAGAGAUGUGGAGGAACACCAGUGGCGAAGGCGACUCCCUGGUCUGUAACUGACGCUGAGGAGCGAAAGCGUGGGGAGCGAACAGGAUUAGAUACCCCAGUAGUCCCUGUCUCUUAUAC